rnacentral:rRNA from 1 species
ACGUAGGACACAAGCGUUAUCCGGAGUUACUGGGCGUAAAGGGCGUGUAGGCGGGAUGGUAAGUCUACUCUGAAAGCUCCUGGCUAAACUGGGAGAGGCGAGUGGAGACUGUCGUUCUAGAGUGAGGAAGAGGAAAGUGGAAUUCCGCGUGUAGUGGUGAAAUGCGUAGAGAUGCGGAGGAACACCAGUGGCGAAAGCGGCGCACUGGACCACAACUGACGCUGAGGCGCGAAAGCUAGGGGAGCAAACAGGA